rnacentral:lncRNA from 1 species
GGAAAGAAGAGAGGAAGGUGAGCUAUAGCUUAACUCCUCCAGAGUGAGGAGAGGCUGAGCAUUCUACUACAGGACAGGACCUCGCCCCAAGCAAGCCAGUGAGCAGCCCGGCCAGACCCUGCUGGACUGAGAGACCCAGCCGCUGACAGUCCCUGGGGCUUGCCUUCUUUGCCAAGCCAAUGGGAAACCAAAAGGAGCUCACUUCCUGUUCUUCCUAGCUCCCCUCCCUGCCGCUGUGCUCCGCUCCUCCCCACACUUCCUUGCUACAGUUCCCAGCUGCUGUAACAGAGCCACCUCCACCUCUAACAAUAAACCAAGUUCAUUGCAGAUGGUGUGGUGCUGCCUAGGCUUUCCAAGGCUCCUCCAGACAGUAAGCUAUCCUGGUUUCCAUCCCUCUGGUUCAGUUAUCAUUUAUCUUGGAAGACUCUCCAUUAUUCAAACCCAUCCCAGGACUCGGGAGAGCCAGCCUGUGUGAAAGGAGGAUGAGAUGAGAGAACCAUCAUCAUUUCUGAAAAGAAGCAGGGUGUGAUGGUGCAUGCCUGUGAUCUUAACACUCAGGGUAGAGGUGGAAGAAUUAGGAGUUUGAGGGCAGCCUGGGCUAUAGAAAGUUUUGGGCCAGCCUGAGCUACACAGUGAGUGAGUCCUUGUCUC